GUGAGCGUAGUGUAGUGGUCUAGCACAAGAGUUUGUGGAACUCUUAGGGGGAGUUCGAAUCUCCUCGCUCACCCA
rnacentral:tRNA from 1 species